AUUGGCUCUGCUACCUGCUACCUGCUUGCUGCCCAAAGCCAGCCACGCUGCUGCUCUCCCCCUGCUGCUUCUGCCUCGGACCUUCGAAGCGCCGUGCAGCGGGACUGCUGCUGGAUCCUGGUGGUGACUAUCCCCGCUAUAUGUGACUCUUGCUUCUUUCCUAUCUUUUCUAUCACCCUCCUUCCCUUCCCCGUCACCCUAAUUUGUAAUAGUCACCGUCCUUCCCUUCCCCAUCUCCCUGAUUAGGAUUUAUGAUAAACUGGUAGGACCAACAUUUGAAGCAUUGUUUCUUAAUCUCAUGCCAGGUAUAAAUAUAUUAAAAACAACUUCCUCUCCCUCCUAUAAAUUGAAGCGAGACACUGGUCAAACUGCUGAUUGAGUAUAAUGAAUUAAUCACACAUUCAAGUAACAAAUGCAUGUGAGAAACAGUGUCUGUAAUAAGUAUAAAUACAAAACACAGCUACUCUCCCUUACUACACUAGCCAUCAACCUCACAAAACCUUGUAGGAAAGGAACCAAUCAUCAGGAAACACUAAUUCCCAAAAAGCAUCACAACAUUAGUUUGUAAAUGUCUGUAACAGUGGUAACCUACACCUGUUCCAGGCAAGUGUAAAGUUUAUACCUGGAAAUGUUCAGCAAAAACUCAUUUAGGCAUUCAGGUCUUACUGCCUCAUUGCUAAUGUACUGUCCCAAAGGAGCACCAAUAAUGUACAUACAUGAACACUCGAUAGUUGAACUGUGAAUAUUCCUUCUUCCCUUGAUGCACAAUUACCUAUCUUUGAAUUUGUAUAUGGAAAUCUUAUUCAGAGUGAUUUAUAUCAACAUAUCCAGAGUAUUUCCUAGCAUUUGUCCAUGAAGAGGGGUUCAUAUGCACCAUGAUAGAGUAAGUGUACUGAGAAGGCCAACGAAAAUAAUUAGAGAGCUGGCAAAGUUGACAUGUAAAAAAAAGCCUUCUGAAAAUUAAAAAUGCACAAUUUCACUGUAGAGGAUUAAGAGGAAACACAGUCACUGAGAUAGAAAUAAUAUUUUAAUAUCUAUAUGACUAAUAUUCUGAAUUAUUAAAGAAUUGUUUAGAAAAGACAAAAUACAUAGAGUUAUAAAAAAGUAAGUACUGAAAAAAUCUGCAGCUAAGCAUUGUGAAAAACUACUUGGCAGUGAGAUCUGCAAAGCAGUACAAAAGCAUCUCAUGGGAAGUAGUGGAAUCUCCAUCAUUUGGGAUAUUUAAAACCAAUCUAGACAAAUUGUUGGAAAUGUUCUAUAGGGAAUAGUCCUGAAUUGGUAAAGAGACAGACUGGAUGACCUAACAGGUCUUUUUCCAUCUGUAAUGUCUAUUACUCUGUAAUUGUCUCAUGUCCUCAAUCCACACAUUAAGCAAUGCUCAUAUAGCUCCAGCGCCAAAUGGUUUAGUUCCAAAGCUCCAACUCCUUCUUUACUCAUCAUUUAAGACAAACAGAGCAAAUCCUACUUAGGAAUGAAAAUGUUCAUAGCAAGAUCAACAAGGAAAAAUGAUUCUGAGGCUCAAGUCAUUUCUCUUACACAAGAAGUUCUAGGUCUGCUAAUAUGCACCACUAGAAUACGAACAGCUUCAAAAUGGUACACAGCUCACUUCAGUGCUUCUGCUUCUUAGUACAACUUGCAUUUUUUAAGUUAGUGUUUAGUAAAUCCUGUUGCAAACUAGCUUUCUGUCUUGAUUUUAUGAUUGUUGGUUAUCGGUAUUCCACAUCAUAACAUCAUGUAGUGCACUGGGAGUUUAACUGAUAAUGCUCAAGUUCCUGGUACCUGUCUGGAAGAGAAGAACUACAUUCCCCAGGGAGUUCUGCGGUCAGAGAGGAGCUAUGGCAAGGUCACCUGAUGUGCUCUUCUUCGUUGGCUCUUCUUUGUUGGCUCUCCUCCUGUCUCCCUGCUGCUCAACUGGACUGCGCAUCUCACCUCAGCAUUAUGCUCCAUCCUUUUCUCCAUGUGAACUGAAUUUUGUCUGCUGUGAAAAAUACAAACACACUUUAAUGAACAGUUACUAUAUGAAUGUUUUAAAAACUGAGGCCCAGUACAACACUGAAUUCUAUGUGCUUACAAGCAAUUUAAAACCAUAUCAUACUUGAUCAAAACACAUUUCACAUGCAAAUGAUAAUUAUAUGAAGUUUUGCUUGAAGACUAAACCACCAAGAAAGUACUGAAGUCUCAUGAUGACCAGAGUCGUCAUACUUCACCAGAGCAUGUAACUGGAAAAUUAUUUUCCAGAAGAAGAAAAAUGCUAUUAAGAACAAAAAAACAAAUAAAUAAAAAAAAACACCACAAAAGAAAAGUGACCUAGUUAACUGUAACAUAAGUAGAAAUGAUAUAUUUCAGAGAGAGGGAUAACAUUUUCAAAAGUAACGCAUUAGCCUAAUAAAGUAAGACAUUCCAGAAAAGUUUGAGUGAACAGAAGGCUGUGAAUUUCCUGUUAAAAUUACACAUUUACCACAUUUUUAUAUUCCUAGGGACUGUGAAUCAAAUGCAAGUCUCAGCAAUAUUUAUUUAUUUACCUUCACUCAAUUAGUAUAGUUAAGUGCUUAAUUAUGAGUUAAAACAAUUGUGAGAUGGAACCACUCAUUUAAAAAUACAAGAGAGACUGGAUUUCAAAUGCAAUUUCUCCUUUGGUCUUUGCUAUCUAACACCAGUCUACAAGGAAUUCUCCUAUUAUACACUGAAAUUCACUGAAAUUUACUUACUUCCCAGUAAGCCUGUUACUCACCGCAUGAUUGAUAAUGUAAAUAUCUUGCCUUGCCUUUCAAUACACACACACCAAAAAAAAAAAAAAAAAAAAAGCAAAAAGCAGAGGAACAGUUAGUGUCCUUCCUCUACUUUCCCCCGUAGUUCUACAAGGAAACACCAUAGGUACACUGGGUGAUCUGCCUACUCAUUCAUUCAGUUUUUUUACCUAGCACUAAUGAGCAUAUAAGAGGCUUUAAAUAACAGGGGCUGCAAAUCAGCAUGGAAGGAAGUCAUAAUCCGUCAUGUACCAACCAAAAGUGGAUCCAGUCGGUCUGAGAGCAGAUGAAAUUGGCAGAAAAAACCUUUAAUCAGAGAAACAUACAUUAUCUCAGCUUGGACUUAUCUAAGACAGAGGCAGCCUUGAAGGCCUGGAGACACAUGUGGUGCGGAUAGGGCACUCCAAGCCAAAAGACUGUAUGGGCACAACUGAGGGACUGUGACUAAGGGCUGCUCACAGGCAGGAACACCCCAAAAGGACUACAGCCAUUAAUGAUGACAGCAAGAUACGGACACUCCUUUGGGAACAUGGCUUACUGUAGAUCCAUACAGGAACCAUUAGCACAAAGAAGCAGAAACAAACUAGCACACAGACCACCACAAACCGCUAUACUGCCCAUCACCACACCAGAGGUGUCUACAUGGACUGAGCACAGCUGAUGGUGAGACUGGAUAAUCAGAAGGGUAAGAGAUCAGAAAAAAGAGAUUCAUCUUGGGCAAAGAACAUCCUUGCUGACAAUCUGUUCUAAUUUUGAAAUUAACCAUAACUUCGAAAAUUCUAUAUCAGCUUGAUGAAGUCAUUAUUAAUAUUUACCCUAGGAAAAACGGCAUUCAUGUUUAUCCAUCACAAAUCCUCAUCCAGAACCAUACUAGUCCCUUAAUCCUAGUUAUGAGCAACAGUGAUUUAUGAAAAAUGAGUUAAACAGCACUGAAUUCCUGUAACAUUUUUUUCUGUGACAUUAGCUGCGGGAAGAACUGAAUGGGACAAACUAUUCACUUAUAAAAGAACACAAGUUGGAUUCCACUGUCCCACUGCAAAACCAAACACAAAUGAAAAGGGCAAAAAUAAUUUGAAUCGCAUUAUAAAAGAACAGUAAAGAGUAAAUCAAGGCAGGUUCAUAUCCUUUUUAGCUUAUUCCCAUGCAUAGCUUGAUGUCUGAAAUGUUUGUAUUAAUAAGCUAAUUUUUGUUUCUGGGAUAAGCACAGGUAGAGAAAGCACAUCAAAUCAAUUUCUCCAAUGACCACUAACAAAUGAAACCAUCUAUUUUGUUCCAUGUUUGAACUGUGAAAGUAAAGGCAAUAAAAUGUACAGCUUACCAAAAGCA